UUUUUUUUUUUCUUUCCUGCCCUGUCCCAGCCACAUGGCAAGUCUCGAUGCCAAACUCAACCAAUCCAGAUUGAGUGACUAGGGCCUGGAGAAGACCGGAAGGUUAUGAUCAAAGCCACACAGGUGGCACCUGGACCAGUUCUCCCCUGCCGCCCAGCUUUCUGGGCUUCACUGGUCCCAGCGCCUUUCCACAGCCUUGAAUUCCAGCCUUCUGACAGUGACCAUGAGGCCAACUAUCCUGAGCUACAACAGUUAUCACUGAUAUUGGUAGCCCCCGAUACCCUUCUGAUAAACUCCCUCCUGCUGGAAGAGCAAGUCAGCCUGGGUUGCUCGCAGCCAAGAAGGCUGCCAGAUAGAAAGGGCCUCCUUUGUAAGGCUGUUGUGAAGCUGAACUGAAAUUGCCCUUGUAAAGCAUCGCCCUGAAUGCCUGGCUCAGUACGUGUCAGCUCUUGAGAUUAUUACAGACUCAGAUGGCCCCCGGGAAGGGAUGAUCUGAGUUAAACACAAGGUUUUAAUUGACCAGAAAAGGGUACACAGAAUCCUAGUUGCCGAAUUGGCAACUCUCCCCUCGGCACUCAGAUUCUGGCUGCUUGGGGUCCCCUGUCUGCCAUAUUCACCAGGAAUUGGUGACACUUGAGGCAUGUGAGGGAAGGAAGGCACAGAUUCUCCCCCAGCCACACCAAACGAACAAGAAAGCUGAGUGAUGAUGUGGGCAGCCAAUUCUCCCUCUUAACCGCGGUGCACCAACCCUCCCGGGAGAAUUGCUGUGCAACCUGGGGACACGCAGCCAGUGGGCAGCACGAGGAAGACAGGGCAGUGAAGAGACGAGGGCUCGAGGGCACAAGUCCAAGACCAGCUCUGGAGUUCAAACACAUGCCCUGUCCCUGCUCGGCCUGGCCACUUUCCCUCCAAGCACGCUUUGAAGCGGUUGAACCUGCUUUUUACCUGACAGGUAAGAGUUGGAGCAGUAGAGCCUGUGACUGUCCAUUGUCAAUGGGUACUUUUGAGACACCAAGGAAUCACUGCCAUCAGCACCACCAUCAAUAGCAGCAUCCUUUUCUUCUUCCCUACAUGGAUUGAGCUGUUCUUAAAUCCCAGGGAUGGGCUACACAUUUUCUGCCCAUUCAUUCCUUUAAUCCUUACAACCUUCUUAUGAAGCCAGGUGCAAUUAUUGCUAUUAACAAACUGAUGCUCCGAGAACGCAGGUGACUUGCCCAAGGUCAUAGAACUAACAAGUGAUGGAGCCUUGAUUAACUGCUAUGAUUAACCACAUCCUUAACCACUCAGCUAUACCUCAGUUAGUGGUUCGGGCGGGGAUGUCCCUCUCCCCACACCUCACACAUUCUGGCUCUAAUUCCUACCUGCCUAUCCUCAACUGAUCCUUCUGUGCAGCCUUAACAGCCCCAAGACAGAACUUUUACGAACGUGCCUUUGUGCUUUUUUGGGUUUCAUUUUUGUUUUUGUUUUUUUAGGGCUGCCCCCAUGGCAUAUGGAAAUUUCCAGGCUAGGAGUCAAAUUGGAGCUACAGCUGCCAGCCUAUGCCACAGCCACAGCAAUGCAGGAUCCAAGCUGCAUCUGCAACCUACAUCAUAGCUCACCACCAUGCUGGAUCCUUGAGUGCUUUCUUUCUAAGAAGUAAGGCCAGAUCCAAGCAGCAUCUGCAACCUACACUGCAGCUUGCAGCAAUGCAGGAUCCUUAAGCCCCUGAGGGAGGCCAGGGAUUGAACCCGCCUCCUUGCAGACGUGAUGUCAGGUUCUUAACCCACUGCGCCACAAGGGGAACUCCCAUGUUUUUCAUUUGGAAGAUGGGUUUUACGCUCUGGUUGGAGCUAGUGGUGGAUCCCAUCUCUUCUACAUUAUAAACUCUCAUGUACAUACCAUAAACACGGCGCCUCAGUGCUUAUGGUGAUAUAUUGAUCUUGGCCAUUUAAUUGCAUGCACAUGCAGAAGAGGGCUGGGUGGGUACAUACUCCCUUCUGUGAGUUUGGGCUGCAGGCUUUGGGUUUGAAAAUCUCCCCAGGCACACAAGCACCAGAGGUGCUAAGGGAAAGCAUUAUUUAUGAAUGGGAUUCUCAGGCGUUCUGCCCCAGAUUAAUUGCUUUCAAUCCUAAUUUAACAGAGGUCCAAUGUGUCAAUGAUGGCAAAAUGAAUCACAGCCUCUUCGAUGAGGAAAAAAAAAUCAGAAGAGGCAUGCAUCUUUCUGAAAGGCUAUUGUGCUGGCAGGUCCGGGGUGUCCCUGCUGGGGGACAGAAUGGUGAUCCGGAGGGGAGCAGAGCCUUGAGGACUAUCUUGCUACCUACUGGGGGAGGGGGUGCCCUCAGCCACCAAGACCACAACACUGGGGCUGUGCGGCGGCAGCUCCUGACUUUUUACUCCUCCUCCCUCAGUCCCAGGAGGCAGGAGCACGGCAGAUCAAUAAGAUGCGUUGACGGAGGUGCCUGCAGCAUGGCCAUUUCUCAGGCCAGACACAGAUGGCACCAUCGCCAGCAGCGACACGAUGGAGGCUGGUCCCAUGGCGGGUCUGUCUAUCCUCCCUGAUAACUGACACAGCGCCCCUGCCCCUGAUUCUGCACAAACUCGCAUCAAAGAAGCCAUUUCCAGGAGGUAUCAUGUCUCCAUGUCUCCAGCCGGUCACCUGGCCUCCCACUUGCCAAUGGACAUGCCCUUCUGCUGUUCAACUGCUUUGCCCAGGCUCCCCAGCGCUGACCUGGGCCAGGGCCAAGGACCCCUCCCCCAUUUUAUUCCUGUAGUUAGUAGCGGGUUGAGAGAGCAGAUCUCCCAGGAACGCCUGAUGGAGGGUGGGUGGUGGCUCCUGGUGGUGGGGGGAUGGGGUGCAGGGUUGCAGAGCCCCUGCAUCCCAAAUGCAGUUCUCCCGGGGAGGCCACGCCGCAUCCUGCCGACCUCCUCACUUUUUGGAGAUGGCAAGACCUUCUGCCACCAAACUAGUUGCCUGGCAUGAUUUUUUCUCCCUCCUUCUGUCUUUAUUUUUUUAUUAUUUUUAAUUUUUUUUUUUUUUUUGGUCAUUUUAGGGCCUUACCCACAGCAUAUGGAAGUUCCCAGGCUAGGGGUCCAAUCAGAGCUGCAGCUGCCGGCCUACACCACAGCCACAGCAAUGCUGGAUCCUUAACCCACUGAGCGGGGCCAGGGAUUGAAUCUGCGUCGUCACGGAUGCUAGUCUGAUUCGUUUCUGCUGAGCCACCAUGGGAAC
rnacentral:lncRNA from 1 species